GGGUUGUGAGGUUAAGCGACUAAGCGUACACGGUGGAUGCCCUGGCAGUCAGAGGCGAUGAAGGACGUGCUAAUCUGCGAUAAGCGUCGGUAAGGUGAUAUGAACCGUUAUAACCGGCGAUUUCCGAAUGGGGAAACCCAGUGUGAUUCGACACACUAUCAUUAACUGAAUCCAUAGGUUAAUGAGGCGAACCGGGGGAACUGAAACAUCUAAGUACCCCGAGGAAAAGAAAUCAACCGAGAUUCCCCCAGUAGCGGCGAGCGAACGGGGAGCAGCCCAGAGCCUGAAUCAGUGUGUGUGUUAGUGGAAGCGUCUGGAAAGGCGCGCGAUACAGGGUGACAGCCCCGUACACAAAAAUGCACAUGCUGUGAGCUCGAUGAGUAGGGCGGGACACGUGGUAUCCUGUCUGAAUAUGGGGGGACCAUCCUCCAAGGCUAAAUACUCCUGACUGACCGAUAGUGAACCAGUACCGUGAGGGAAAGGCGAAAAGAACCCCGGCGAGGGGAGUGAAAAAGAACCUGAAACCGUGUACGUACAAGCAGUGGGAGCACGCUUAGGCGUGUGACUGCGUACCUUUUGUAUAAUGGGUCAGCGACUUAUAUUCUGUAGCAAGGUUAACCGAAUAGGGGAGCCGAAGGGAAACCGAGUCUUAACUGGGCGUUAAGUUGCAGGGUAUAGACCCGAAACCCGGUGAUCUAGCCAUGGGCAGGUUGAAGGUUGGGUAACACUAACUGGAGGACCGAACCGACUAAUGUUGAAAAAUUAGCGGAUGACUUGUGGCUGGGGGUGAAAGGCCAAUCAAACCGGGAGAUAGCUGGUUCUCCCCGAAAGCUAUUUAGGUAGCGCCUCGUGAAUUCAUCUCCGGGGGUAGAGCACUGUUUCGGCAAGGGGUCAUCCCGACUUACCAACCCGAUGCAAACUGCGAAUACCGGAGAAUGUUAUCACGGGAGACACACGGCGGGUGCUAACGUCCGUCGUGAAGAGGGAAACAACCCAGACCGCCAGCUAAGGUCCCAAAGUCAUGGUUAAGUGGGAAACGAUGUGGGAAGGCCCAGACAGCCAGGAUGUUGGCUUAGAAGCAGCCAUCAUUUAAAGAAAGCGUAAUAGCUCACUGGUCGAGUCGGCCUGCGCGGAAGAUGUAACGGGGCUAAACCAUGCACCGAAGCUGCGGCAGCGACGCUUAUGCGUUGUUGGGUAGGGGAGCGUUCUGUAAGCCUGCGAAGGUGUGCUGUGAGGCAUGCUGGAGGUAUCAGAAGUGCGAAUGCUGACAUAAGUAACGAUAAAGCGGGUGAAAAGCCCGCUCGCCGGAAGACCAAGGGUUCCUGUCCAACGUUAAUCGGGGCAGGGUGAGUCGACCCCUAAGGCGAGGCCGAAAGGCGUAGUCGAUGGGAAACAGGUUAAUAUUCCUGUACUUGGUGUUACUGCGAAGGGGGGACGGAGAAGGCUAUGUUGGCCGGGCGACGGUUGUCCCGGUUUAAGCGUGUAGGCUGGUUUUCCAGGCAAAUCCGGAAAAUCAAGGCUGAGGCGUGAUGACGAGGCACUACGGUGCUGAAGCAACAAAUGCCCUGCUUCCAGGAAAAGCCUCUAAGCAUCAGGUAACAUCAAAUCGUACCCCAAACCGACACAGGUGGUCAGGUAGAGAAUACCAAGGCGCUUGAGAGAACUCGGGUGAAGGAACUAGGCAAAAUGGUGCCGUAACUUCGGGAGAAGGCACGCUGAUAUGUAGGUGAAGUCCCUCGCGGAUGGAGCUGAAAUCAGUCGAAGAUACCAGCUGGCUGCAACUGUUUAUUAAAAACACAGCACUGUGCAAACACGAAAGUGGACGUAUACGGUGUGACGCCUGCCCGGUGCCGGAAGGUUAAUUGAUGGGGUUAGCGCAAGCGAAGCUCUUGAUCGAAGCCCCGGUAAACGGCGGCCGUAACUAUAACGGUCCUAAGGUAGCGAAAUUCCUUGUCGGGUAAGUUCCGACCUGCACGAAUGGCGUAAUGAUGGCCAGGCUGUCUCCACCCGAGACUCAGUGAAAUUGAACUCGCUGUGAAGAUGCAGUGUAUCCGCGGCAAGACGGAAAGACCCCGUGAACCUUUACUAUAGCUUGACACUGAACAUUGAGCCUUGAUGUGUAGGAUAGGUGGGAGGCUUUGAAGUGUGGACGCCAGUCUGCAUGGAGCCGACCUUGAAAUACCACCCUUUAAUGUUUGAUGUUCUAACGUUGACCCGUAAUCCGGGUUGCGGACAGUGUCUGGUGGGUAGUUUGACUGGGGCGGUCUCCUCCUAAAGAGUAACGGAGGAGCACGAAGGUUGGCUAAUCCUGGUCGGACAUCAGGAGGUUAGUGCAAUGGCAUAAGCCAGCUUGACUGCGAGCGUGACGGCGCGAGCAGGUGCGAAAGCAGGUCAUAGUGAUCCGGUGGUUCUGAAUGGAAGGGCCAUCGCUCAACGGAUAAAAGGUACUCCGGGGAUAACAGGCUGAUACCGCCCAAGAGUUCAUAUCGACGGCGGUGUUUGGCACCUCGAUGUCGGCUCAUCACAUCCUGGGGCUGAAGUAGGUCCCAAGGGUAUGGCUGUUCGCCAUUUAAAGUGGUACGCGAGCUGGGUUUAGAACGUCGUGAGACAGUUCGGUCCCUAUCUGCCGUGGGCGCUGGAGAACUGAGGGGGGCUGCUCCUAGUACGAGAGGACCGGAGUGGACGCAUCACUGGUGUUCGGGUUGUCAUGCCAAUGGCACUGCCCGGUAGCUAAAUGCGGAAGAGAUAAGUGCUGAAAGCAUCUAAGCACGAAACUUGCCCCGAGAUGAGUUCUCCCUGACUCCUUGAGAGUCCUGAAGGAACGUUGAAGACGACGACGUUGAUAGGCCGGGUGUGUAAGCGCAGCGAUGCGUUGAGCUAACCGGUACUAAUGAACCGUGAGGCUUAACCUUACAACGCCGAAGCUGUU
rnacentral:rRNA from 1 species